rnacentral:rRNA from 1 species
UACGUAGGGACCGAGCGUUGUCCGGAAUCAUUGGGCGUAAAGAGCGUGUAGGCGGCUUGCUAAGUCUUGCGUGAAAUCUCGGGGCUCAACCCCGAGCGGUCGUGGGAAACUGGCAGGCUAGAGUGCGGGAGAGGAGAAUGGAAUUCCUGGUGUAGCGGUGAAAUGCGCAGAUAUCAGGAGGAACACCGGUGGCGAAGGCGGAUCUCUGGGCCAUUACUGACGCUGAGGAGCGAAAGCGUGGGGAGCGAACAGG